rnacentral:rRNA from 1 species
AGAGUUUGAUCCUGGCUCAGAGUGAACGCUAGCGGUGCGCCUAACACAUGCAAGUCGAGCGACCCCGGUUUACCGGGGGAGCGGCGAACGGCUGAGUAACACGUUGGAAUCUGCCCCAGACUCAGGGAUAACCCCGCGAAAGCGGGGCUAAUACCGGAUGGUCUCGUAAGAGUAAAGCUUUUGCGGUCUGGGAGGAUCCUGCGGCAUAUCAGGUAGUAGGUAGGGUAACGGCCUACCUAGCCGAUGACGUGUAGCUGAUCUGAGAGGAUGAUCAGCCAGAAUGGAACUGAGACACGGUCCAUACUCCUACGGGAGGCAGCAGUGAGGAAUCUUCCGCAAUGGGCGAAAGCCUGACGGAGCGACACCGCGUGGUGGAUGACACCCUUUUCGGGCGUAAACACCUGUCCUGAGGGACGAAACUUUUGACGGUACCUCAGAAGAAAGCACCGGCUAAUUCCGUGCCAGCAGCCGCGGUAAGACGGGAGGUGCAAGCGUUACUCGGAAUUACUGGGCGUAAAGCGUCCGCAGCCGUCCCGCAUAGGUCCGCUGUAAAAUCUCACAGCCCAACUGUGAGCUCGUAGUAGAAACCAGCGGGAUUGAGUCAUAGAGAGGCAUCUGGAAUGCCAUGUGUAGGGGUAAAAUCCGUUGAUCCAUGGUAGAACGCCAAAAGCGAAGGCAGGAUGCUGGCUAUGUACUGACGGUCAGGGACGAAAGCAUGGGGAGCGAAGGGGAUUAGAUACCCCCGUAGUCCAUGCCCUAAACGAUGCGUGCUCGGUGUGGGAGUUUUCAAUUAACUUCCGUGCCCCAGCUAACGCGGUAAGCACGCCGCCUGUGAACUACGGCCGCAAGGCUAAAACAUAAAGGAAUAGACGGGGACCCACACAAGCGGUGGAGCGUGGGGUUUAAUUCGAUGAUAAGCGGAGCACCUCACCCAGGUUUGACAUCCUGAGAAACCCGCAGAAAUGCGGGUGUGCCUUUAUGGAACUCAGUGACAGGUGGUGCACGGUAGUCGUCAGCUCGUGUCUUGAGAUGUACUGUUAAGUCAGCAAACGAGCGCAACCCUCAUCCUAUGUUGUUUUUUCAUAGGAGACUGCCGCCUCCAAGGCGGAGGAAGGUGAGGAUGACGUCAGAUCUGCGUGUCCCUUAUACCUGGGGCAACACCCGCGCUACAAUGGCCGGUACAAAGGGCAGCCAACCCGCAAGGGGGAGCCAAUCCCAUCAAAACCGGUCUCAGUUCGGAUAGGAGUCUGCAACUCGACUCCUUGAAGCUGGAAUCGCUAGUAAACGUGAAUCAGCUAUGUCACGUUGAAUACGUUCCUGGGUCUUGUACUCACCGCCCGUCAAGUCCUGAAAGGCAGAAACGCCCGAAGCACCUUUACCCCGGUUUCCGGGGGGGGUACCACGGUGGGGCUGCUGAUUGGGACUAAGUCGUAACAAGGUA